GAAACACGGACCAAGGAGUCUAGCAUGUGCGCGAGUCAUUGGGACUCAUGAUAAACCUAAAGGCGCAAUGAAAGUAAAGGUCCGCCCCGCGCGGACCGAGGGAGGAUGGGACCGUCCGCGGACGGACCCCGCACUCCCGGGGCGUCUCGUUCUCAUCGCGAGAAGAGGCGCACCCAGAGCGUACACGCUGGGACCCGAAAGAUGGUGAACUAUGCCUGGUCAGGACGAAGUCAGGGGAAACCCUGAUGGAGGUCCGUAGCGAUUCUGACGUGCAAAUCGAUCGUCGGAACUGGGUAUAGGGGCGAAAGACUAAUCGAACCUUCUAGUAGCUGG
rnacentral:rRNA from 1 species